CAAGGCAACAUCACCAUCAAUCAACUUUUAAGUUUUCACAGCCCACACCAGCAAUGUUGAAGUUAGGUCUUAGAAUGGAAUGGUGUCUGCACUCAAAGGCAGAGUGAGCAGCUCCUCGAGGAUCCUCAGCUCCCUAGCAUGGAGGAGUUCAUCAAAGCGCCUCUGAGAGCAGAUCGUGAUGGCGCAAGACAGUGAGUGAAGGAGAUCUUCAGGGCCAGCAAAAGGAACCCUCUCUAAAGAACCACACCAGAGGGGCCUCAUUUGCACCCGGACCUGAGUUGGAGGCUGAGGCCCUGGAUUUGGAGCCUGAGCCUGAAGGCUUCAUGGCCGAUACCAGUUGCUGGUCGCUCCAAGAGGGUAGCUGGACUUCCUCCAUGGCUGGUGCCCAGGACUCCCAGAAGAACUGGGAGCUCUGUGGACCUUUAGAGAUGGCGUGACUGCGUGAGACUCCCCUACGAGGGCUCAUCUAUGUCUGCUGGGAAGCGCUGUCUCACUGCCUAUCUCAUUGCCUUGUGCACGGGACCACCUGGUCCCUGAGAUCUGCAAACUCAUGGGCCAGCUAGUGCGAGGGAGGUUAGGAGAAGUGGAGGCAGAGGGAGAGGGAUCCGCAGAGCAAGCAGAGGUGUAGGGGGUGCCAUUGGAGCUGAGCGUUGAGCACAUUUUUUGAGGAGACACUUUGAAGCCCGCCCACAUUGCCAUCCACCCAGCAGACGUGGCAGCUGUGGCCUGUUCCAGAAGCCCAGGGUGUGUGGCAGCUCGGCCUGGCCUUGCACCCUCCCU